CCUACGGGGGACUGCAGUGAGGAAUAUUGGUCAAUGGACGGAAGUCUGAACCAGCCAUGCCGCGUGCAGGAAGACGGCCCUAUGAGUUGUAAACUGCUUUUGUACAAGGGUAAACCUGAAUACGUGUAUUCUGCUGAAAGUACCGUACGAAUAAGGAUCGGCUAACUCCGUGCCAGCAGCCGCGGUAAUACGGAGGAUCCAAGCGUUAUCCGGAUUUAUUGGGUUUAAAGGGUGCGUAGGUGGAUUGAUAAGUUAGAUGUGAAAUGUUCGAGCUUAACUCGGGAACUGCCUUUAAUACUGUUGGUCUAGAGAAUAGAUGCGGUAGGCGGAAUGUAUGGUGUAGCGGUGAAAUGCUUAGAGAUCAUACAGAACACCGAUUGCGAAGGCAGCUUACCAAUCUAUAUCUGACGUUGAGGCACGAAAGCGUGGGGAGCAAACAGGAUUAGAUACCCGAGUAGUC
rnacentral:rRNA from 1 species